CAGCCGCCACGGUAAUACGUAGGGUGCGAGCGUUAAUCGGAAUUACUGGGCGUAAAGCGUGCGCAGGCGGUUCGUCAAGACAGAUGUGAAAUCCCCGGGCUUAACCUGGGAACUGCAUUUGUGACUGGCGAGCUAGAGUAUGGCAGAGGGGGGUAGAAUUCCACGUGUAGCAGUGAAAUGCGUAGAGAUGUGGAGGAAUACCGACGGCGAAGGCAGCCCCCUGGGCCAAUACUGACGCUCAUGCACGAAAGCGUGGGGAGCAAACAGGAUUAGAUACCCCCGUAGUCCCUGUCUCUUAUAC
rnacentral:rRNA from 1 species